UCAGUGACUUAGCGAUAAGCGACAUGCGA
rnacentral:sRNA from 1 species